CCCUUAGAUGUUCUGGGCUGCACGCGUGCUACAAUGGCGUUUCCAGCAAGUCUGCGAACCCGAGAGGGCCAGCGGAUCUUCGAAUUGGCGUCGUGAUCGGGACAGUCGAUUGCAAUUAUUUGACUCAAACGAGGAAUUCCUUGUAAUCGCGAUUCAUCAUAUCGCGCUGAAUACGUCCCUGCCCUUUGUACACACCGCCCGUCGCUCCUACCGAUUGAGCGAUCCGGUAAAUGUUUUGGAUUGGUGCCGGGGCGGCUAGCUGCCGGUCGCUACGAAAUUUUGUGAACCUUAUCGCUUAGAGGAAGGAAAGGUCGUAACA
rnacentral:rRNA from 1 species